rnacentral:rRNA from 1 species
AACAGCUCAAAUUUGAAAUCUGGCCCCCUUGGGGGUUCGAGUUGUAAUUUGUAGAGGAUGCUUCGGGCAAGGCCGCGGUCUAAUUCGCUUGGAACAGCGGGUCACAGAGGGUGAGAGUCCCGUCUAGGACCGCGCGCCGCGUCCAUGUGAAGCUCCUUCGACGAGUCGAGUUGUUUGGGAAUGCAGCUCUAAAUGGGUGGUAAAUUUCAUCUAAAGCUAAAUAUUGGCCAGAGACCGAUAGCGCACAAGUAGAGUGAUCGAAAGAUGAAAAGCACUUUGAAAAGAGAGUUAAACAGUAUGUGAAAUUGUUGAAAGGGAAGCGCUUGCAACCAGACUUGCGAGUGACGGUUCCCCCGGCCUCCUGGCCGGGCUACUCCGUCACCUCCAGGCCAGCAUCGGUUCGGGUGGUCGGUGAAAGACCCCGGGAAUGUAUCCACCUCCGGGUCGACUUAUAGCCCGCGGUGCAAUGCGGCCCACCCGGACCGAGGAACGCGCUCCGGCUCGGAUGCUGGCGUAAUGGUUGUAAGCGGCCCGUCUUGAAACACGGACCAAGGAGUCUAACAUCUAUGCGAGUGUUUGGGUGUCAAACCCCUACGCGGAAUGAAAGUGAACGGAGGUAAGAACCCUUCGGGGCGCAUUAUCGACCGAUCCUGAUGUCUUUGGAUGGAUUUGAGUAAGAGCAUAGCUGUUGGGACCCGAAAGGUGCGUUGCUCUUUUCUUUUACAUCCCUUCCUUUUUGCUGUGAUUUUAACGUUGUGCGAAAAAUAUGCUAACUUGUACUUGUCAAUAGAUGGUGAACUAUGCCUGAAUAGGGUGAAGCCAGAGGAAACUCUGGUGGAGGCUCGCAGCGGUUCUGACGUGCAAAUCGAUCGUCAAAUUUGGGCAUAGGGGCGAAAGUAAGUUACUCCUUCUUGUGUUCCCCUUGUAAUAUUGUUUGUUAGGUCGGGCACGUGAUACUUCGUUCAGUCAAGUCUAAGCGCUCAGGCAGGAUAGCAAUGCAACAUGGAUCAGAAGUAGCCUCUCUUCAACGAGAAAAAACCAAAAAAGAAUAUCACGUGUCCGAUCUGUUCUCUGUGAUUUAUUAGUUUUGUUCUUGAAAAGUAAUAAGCUAAUCACUGUUGUUUUAGGACCAAUCGAACCAUCGUUGCCAGGUGGUUGAUUUUCCAACUUUGAGUUGGGUUAGUCUGAUACUAGGUAUUGGGCGACGUCGUCAGUCUUCGGGGAUGUCCUUAUGGCUAUCCGAAGCCGUCUUUAAGGUUAGGACGGUUCACAGACUAAACAGCGACGGCCGGAGCCUUUUUGACCGGGCACGGUGAUUAUAUAGUCGAGUAAAGUUAUUGGAUCUCGCGAGUACGUACGCCUUGUUAGGCUUAUAGACUUCCUUGAGGUUGGUCUUGCGAGAAUUCUGUAGCUUUUAAACGCUGGUAGCUGGUUCCUGUCGAAGUUUCCCUCAGGAUAGCAGUAACGUUUUCAGUUUUAUGAGGUAAAGCGAAUGAUUAGAGGCCUUGGGGUUGAAACAACCUUAACCUAUUCUCAAACUUUAAAUAUGUAAGAAGUCCUUGUUUCUUAACUGAAC